rnacentral:miRNA from 1 species
GCCAAGAUCAGCUGGCUUUAUUGCUCUCUCUCUCUCUCUCUCUCUCUCUCUCUCUCUCUCUGUGUGUGUGUGUGUGUGUGUGUGUGUGUGUGAGAGAGAGAGAGAGAGAGAGAGAGAGAGAUGCUUGACUGCAGUC